UACGAAGGGGGCGAGCGUUGUUCGGAUUUACUGGGCGUAAAGGGUGCGUAGGCGGCGCGGUAAGUCGGGUGUGAAAUCUUGGAGCUUAACUCCGAAACUGCAUUCGAUACUGCCGUGCUUGAGGACUGGAGAGGAGACUGGAAUUUACGGUGUAGCGGUGAAAUGCGUAGAUAUCGUAAGGAAGACCAGUGGCGAAGGCGGGUCUCUGGCUCACAACUGACGAUCAGGCACGAAAGCGUGGGGAGCAAACAGG
rnacentral:rRNA from 1 species